rnacentral:rRNA from 1 species
UGGUGGAGUGAUUUGUCUGGUUAAUUCCGAUAACGAACGAGACCUUAAUCUUUACUUGACGUUCGCCACUUUGGUGGUUGUUCUGAUCCGUAAAGAGACUGUGUACGCUUAGUACGCGGAAGUUUGAGGCAAUAACA